AACGCACAUUGCGCCCCAUGGCAUUCCGUGGGGCACGCCUGUUCGAGCGUCAUUUCAACCGUCAAGCCCGGCUUGGUCUUGGGCCCCGCUUCCCUCCCUUCGCGCGGAGGCGGGCCUCAAUAGCGUUGGCGGCGCGGCGCGGCCCCCGAGCGUGACGGAUUCACGGCGACGGGGGUGUGCGGCCGGCGGCCCAUCGUUUUCUCCACAGGUUGACCUCGGAUCAGGCGGGGAUACCCGCUGAACUUAA
rnacentral:misc_RNA from 1 species